GCUGAGCAGGGCUACCAGAGUCAUUCCCAGCAGCACCAGGCACACAUACCACCUCAGCCAGCUGUGCUUCUCUGUGGGGACAAGCCGUGGCUGGUCCCACCGGGGCUGUAAACCUGUCUCCACCACCCCCCUUUGCAACCACUCACCGUAGACGGAGAGGUUGAAGGACUGAUCCUCCACCAGCGCUGGGUGCAGUAUAAUCCGAGCCCCGUAGACCCCGCUGUCGCCCCGCUCCAGGGCCCUGAUCUUCAGCGCCGUCUCGUUGAACAUCUCCAGCCGGUCCUUGAACCGGUCCUUGGGGUCUGGGCGCUUGAAGCCGCCGGGACCGAACUCUGCCACUUGAAUGGUGGUGCCGGUUCCAGCUGAAAAGCUCCACUCGAUCUCCUUCACCUUCUUGUUGGGGGGCAGAGUUGGGGAGAGCAGCACGGACUCCCCCAGGACGCCGUUCACCUGCUGGGGCUGGGUAACCUCAGCACCUGGCCGGGACAAGGAUGAUCUGGAGGUUGGAGAACCCCAGCAGACCCCCCCCCAUUCCUGCCCACAGACCUCGCUCGAGGUACCCAUGGGCAUCUGCCCGCCUGUGCCUUAGUCAUGGGAGCGCAGCGCCCACCCUGAGAUGAUUCAUUUAAUCCUACACCCAUCACACUCCUGCCAGCAUCCCCAUCGGCCGGGUACCACGCGCGGGGCUGGGCGCCCCUGGGUGCUCACGGUACCUUCCCAGCAUCGUCCUGUGCUGUCCCAGUGUCACCCCACGCUGUGCACGGGUCGACCCCAUCACGGGGACUAGCCAGGGCUUCACGGAGAGGAUGAGGAUGCUCUCCCCAUGGCGCCUGCGCCCGAGUGGGGCUCAAACCGAGGCAGGCUUGAGGUUAAACCUUCAGAAAAGUCCCCACAGGUCGCAGUGGGGGGAGGUACCCCCUGCUCGGGGACGUGGGGUAGCUCAGCGCUGAGCUUUUGAGGUGCAGCUUCCGAUUCCUGGGGCGAGAUGCUCCCACCAGCAGAGCCGCCCACACCAGGGGAUGUGGCUACGAGAUGCUGACGCAGCCACCCCCCGGAGCGGGAUGGACGGACAGACGGCCGCGUCCACACACUGCAGGGCUUCUCCUGCACCCUCGCUUGCAGGCUGCUCGUUUCCUACGUGCUUCGUGCAUCGGGGCUGGCUCUGGCCUCUCCCCCACUCUUUGCAGCCGCUUUGGUUUGCAGAGAGGAAAGCGAGGUUGGGGGAACCGCACGGCCAGCCCGUAGCCGGCAAACCACACGCACCGUCGCAGCGUUGAGGGGUUCAUCGCCCCGUCACGCGAGCGUGGCCGUGGAUCCCCCCACCCCCCCCUGCCCCCAGCCCUGCCCCGACCCCGGUUCUGGGGACGCGCUCCCCUGGGGAGGGGUUUCAGUUUGGGUACCGCCGCGAUGCUGGGGUUCGGCAGCCGUGUGCGGUGAUGGGGAGCAGGGUGGUGGUAGAACGUCAGGCAGCACCCGGCCCCUGCCCACUCAUUGCACCCAUCGAGCUUUUUCCAGGUACCCCUGACGGCUGCAGGAUGUGGGUACCGAGCGGUGAUGCUGCAGCAAGGCUGGAGCAGCCUGGGGCCAAGCCACCCUUCGGCCUCCCUCUUCCUCCUCACGGAAACAUGCAGGCAAACAAAGAGGGAAGAUCGCCCCUCCUUUCCUUCCUCCAGAACUCGCCAAAGGGAAUUUUCCCUUUCCCUAUCGCCGGUUGGCUGAGCCGAGCGUGCCCAGCGGCAGCCACGGAGCAGAAGAAGGAGCAAACGGCCCCAGGCGCUGGCCUUGGGCUCCCAGCUCUGCCAGGGACAGUAAACCUCUCCAGAGCUGAUUUAUGCCGGCAGUAAAGCGAGGAGGGGAGGCCGAGCAAUGUCCCGCAUCGUUUCUCCCAUCGGCUGCAAAAAAGCAGCCCCGGCUCGCCCCGGCUCACCCCGCAAAGAACCACCGGUGCAUCAUUCCCGGCUCCUUUGCAGAGGGAAAAGCCUGUUCUCACCCCUAAUAUUUCAUGUAUUUUCUAAACCGCCAGGGCCAGCGUUCAUUUUGCAACUGGGACCCACACCCCAGCUCGCUCUCACCGUUGCUAAGAAAAGGGGGUUCACUAAUAAGUGGGGAUCGCAAGCGUUGGAACAGCCGUGGCCCCCUCCCGGCACGGCUGCUGCCCUCCCCUCCUGCCUACCUGCCACCAGGAGAAGCGAGGCCAGCAGCCAGGGGACGCGGGGACGCGGGCGGCCGGGUGACAUCCCCAUCGCUUCAACGCUGCGUGCUCAGAAGCCUCGAUCUCAGCUCUCUGUACCGGCUUGGAGGGAGUGAACAUGCAAAUCUACCCACACAGAGCAACGCACCUUCCCAGGGGAGUGGCGACGCGAGGACCCCAUGGGGACACCGCAGGGGAUGCCACAGGCCGUGGGGACCUCGGCCUCCUGUUGCACCAAGGGUUUGGUGCUGGUCCCUGCAGUGUCCAAGCUGAUCCGUGAGGCUCCGGCCCUUGUUUUAUCUCUGGAAAGGAGGUGCAAUAAAAGAAGGAGCCGGAUGCUGGGUGCUGUUGCCGGCUGCUGGGUAAAUAACACCAGCUGGGCUGGCUGCCUGCGUGGAGCCCAGCACACCUGGGAUGAGGAGGAACCCUUAGUCCCCACCACAGGGCCAAGCUGGGGUGGCCGCUCCUCCCAGAGAGGGGAGAAAGUUGCCUUGGAAAUGUCCUGGUCGGGCUCCCAGCACCGAGGAUGUCCCAUCCCCUACCCCGAGGCGGUGUUUCCCACUCACGACUUGGCUGGUUUCUCCCUUUGAGCAGUAAAAUCUUUUUCUUGAGAA